rnacentral:rRNA from 1 species
GACGAACGCUGGCGGCGUGCUUAACACAUGCAAGUCGAACGGAAAGGCCCUGCUUUUGUGGGGUGCUCGAGUGGCGAACGGGUGAGUAACACGUGAGUAACCUGCCCUUGACUUUGGGAUAACUUCAGGAAACUGGGGCUAAUACCGGAUAGGAGCUCCUGCUGCAUGGUGGGGGUUGGAAAGUUUCGGCGGUUGGGGAUGGACUCGCGGCUUAUCAGCUUGUUGGUGGGGUAGUGGCUUACCAAGGCUUUGACGGGUAGCCGGCCUGAGAGGGUGACCGGCCACAAUGGGACUGAGAUACGGCCCAGACUCCUACGGGAGGCAGCAGUGGGGAAUAUUGCACAAUGGGCGGAAGCCUGAUGCAGCAACGCCGCGUGCGGGAUGACGGCCUUCGGGUUGUAAACCGCUUUCGCCUGUGACGAAGCGUGAUUGACGGUAAUGGGUAAAGAAGCACCGGCUAACUACGUG